rnacentral:rRNA from 1 species
UACAGAGGGUGCAAGCGUUGUUCGGAAUUAUUGGGCGUAAAGAGCUCGUAGGCGGUCUGUCGCGUCUGCUGUGAAAACCCGAGGCUCAACCUCGGGCCUGCAGUGGGUACGGGCAGACUAGAGUGCGGUAGGGGAGAAUGGAAUUCCUGGUGUAGCGGUGGAAUGCGCAGAUAUCAGGAGGAACACCGAUGGCGAAGGCAGUUCUCUGGGCCGCAACUGACGCUGAGGAGCGAAAGCGUGGGGAGCGAACAGG